rnacentral:tRNA from 2 species
GGGCUAUUAGCUCAGUUGGUAGAGCACUCCUUUGAUAAGGGAGUGGUCAUAGGUUCAAGUCCUGUAUAGCCCA